UACGUAGGGUGCAAGCGUUAAUCGGAAUUACUGGGCGUAAAGCGUGCGCAGACGGCCAUGCAAGACAGAUGUGAAAUCCCCGGGCUCAACCUGGGAACUGCAUUUGUGACUGCAUGGCUAGAGUACGGCAGAGGGGGAUGGAAUUCCGCGUGUAGCAGUGAAAUGCGUAGAGAUGCGGAGGAACACCGAUGGCGAAGGCAGCCCCCUGGGCUAACACUGACGCUCAGGCACGCAAGCGUGGGGAGCAAACAGG
rnacentral:rRNA from 1 species